CGCGUAGUACAAGGAAAGUUACUAAGGAAUUCGAGCGACUAUGGAAAUAACUGUCAGAGACCGGUAUUCUCCUCUGGCAGUUAUCGUUAUUGGCUCGUAGUUCUAGUUCUCUGGCAGUUAUCGGGCUACCACCACAGGUAACCUGGAAGCUGGUAACGGAAUAACUGUGUGUGUAGACGUUCCUGACUCGGUGACUCCAGUUACAGGUCGUAGUUCCAGGUGAUAUUUCCAGAGAGGAUAGUAACUGGAGCGAACAAAUAUUUUCGUACUGCUACGGAAACGACGGUGGGCCAUCGGGGAGAGGGGAUGGCAAAUAACGGGAAUCUAUCGUCUCAUUUCUCUGCAAUUCUUGGUGUUCCGGAACAGGUGUCACUAUUUUUCCGGCCUUUGGUUGCGUUACAGGGUAUUGACUUUCGUUCCGCGUUCUUGUUUUUCUUUGUGUUGUUGAUAUUACUACCAAUAGUUGCCAACAUGAAGAGGUCGAGGACAAGCGAAAUGUGGUCAUAUUUCGAAACUCUUGAUCGAGAGUUUGCGAAUUGUACUUUGUGCGGUAAGAAAUUAUCGUACAAAUCGACGACGACGAAUUUAAAAAAACAUCUUCAGAAAUCACAUUUAAUUGUGAAUUUCUCUUCACAAAGGCCUUCGGAGCUAGAUUUGGGUGAAACCCUUCCUGUAGAGGUGAUCCUUGGCACCAGUAGUGUGGAAGAGGAGCGAGAGGCACACCAACACCAGCAGAUGAGUCUCCGUUUAAUACUUGGGAUAUUAUAACAGUAAGUUAUAGCUCCAGAAGUCAGUCACCAGCAGCAGAUGUCACACAGUUAUAAAAUAGGAAACUUGAAGAAUAAGCUCCAGAAGUCAGCAGCAGCAGCCGCCGUCACACAGCCAAAAUGCGAGAAGCUUGAAGAAUAAUGUGUUAUGGCUCCGAUACUCUUCGCAGCAAAGGUUACGCAGUCCUAUAGAGGCAAACUUGAAGUAUAAAGUAAUAAUGUUUUGCAUACAAUGGCAAACUUGACCUUUCGCUUAAAAUGGAGGUACAUUUGCACUGAGUUUAAUGUUAUGACACGUGAAUGGAUUACCAGUGAUGUAUAUGUAAAUACUGGAAUUUGUAACUUAGAACUUAAUUUCAGUAUCGGCUUUGAAAUUUGGUCACUGGAUACAACUAUAUUAUCUUUCAUGUUGAUAGCAGCAAUCAUCAGAUUGCAAUCCAGUUAAGUACCUGUGAGGCAUGAGAUGUCAAAAAUACUUGUGGGUUAUUGGUAGCCUGUGUCAAGGCAUGUGGCACCUCAAAGUUUGUAAGUACAGUAGCAUUUUGUUUUCUGCUUUACUUAAAAAUUGGUAGCUGUAGCACCCAUUCUGACAUUCAAUUAUUUUGAAUUUCAAGUUUCUUAGAAUGAUACUGACAUCAGUUUGUUAAUACUAAUCCGUAUAUUAUUGUUAAUAUAUGCUGCUAUUUUCACAUCUUGUGCUCAAUACUAAAUUUCAUUUGCAAAACACGGAAGUUUUCCUAUCUUUGUGGUGGAACACAACAAAUUCUCAUAAUUUUGCUAGUUUGUAUUCUAGAAAGGGUGCCAGAAAUGGAAGAGUAUAAUUUUUAUUAAAUUGGGCAUUAAAUGUAAGUAGGUUGGAGUACAGAAAGGGUGCAACUGGCCUUCCCCACUGUAGCCUGAUGUGCUCCAACAUGCAUUUGUACUGAUGUGCAGGUGGUUAUAACACUAGUAUCAAACUGCAUGGUACCCACUUACUAAUGUGACCUACCCUUCCAUGAUCUUCUGCAGACAGCAAGAAAUCCGCUACUGCUCUUACUACCUGUCCAACAGUUGUGGAGGAUUUUUUCCCCUUGGUGCUUGACAUGACAUGUUUUGCCCUCUGCCCUUAAAAUCUCAAUUCUUGUUACAUUUUUCAUCCAUUUUCUAUCUCCUGAUGGACCUGUAUUGAUUAAAAAACUAAUCACUGCAGAGGUGAUUGUAGAACUUUUGCUAGUGGCAGUGUGGAGGGGCUCCACUCUUUAAAAAAUAAAAUUACAUUGUAGGACAUGGAAUUAUUAUUAGAUGCUUUCAUGGACAUUUUGUUUACUGAAAAAGUCAGUCAUUAUCUGAGGUAUUUAAAUGUUAACUUCAAAUCUAAAACUGCAUCAAAAGAUAAAUUUCAGUAAGUCUUUAACAAGUUUCAGUAUCUUGCUUCACAUGCUGGACCCUCCAACUAUAAAAAACAGUGUUUUGCAGAGAACAGCUAUUCAGAUGUUAACAUCCCAGAAUUUGUGUAGAAGAUAUCCCUUACAUUGUUAGUUUCAUUGUGGUCACACUCUACAGUGUAGUGUUAUCAGCAUACAUAUAGAAGUUUGAAGAACAUAUUAAAUUAAUUGCUAGACAUGCCUUAAGUGAAUAUGUUUACUACUAAUAUGAGUCAGCUAAGUAGUUGCUGCAAGUUUUUAUGUUGUUUCUAAAGUGUCUUUAGACAAGGAUAUUUCUGCUGUUUGUUUCCUGUUCUUCUGUUUCAGAUAACUACUCAUAUGCAGCAACUGCUGAAGCAGCCACUGGCAGUUUAUUGAAGUUCCGUGAACAAAGUGUUGUGUGGUCUGUUUGUGUAAAGUGAUAAAGAAAAAUGUUAAAGUGUAAUUGCAUAUGUAAUUGUGUAUAUAUUUAAUCAUUAUUUUUGCUAGUUGUAAGAUCUAUUUUCAUGUAAAUCAGAACAUUGUAUAAUAGGUAACAACCGAAUGAGGCAGUGUAGCUAUUAACAGCACUGACCUCAUAUUCGGGAGGAUGGGGUUCGCACUGUCUGGCCAUCCUGGAUCGCUAAGGCAAAUGCCGGGAUGGUUCCUUCAAGGCCACGGCUGACCACCUGUCCCGCCCUUAAAGAGAUCAUUUAAACAUUGUGUGUAUACCUAUAUUUUGAAUUAUUGAUGUUUGUUGUAUUAUGUUGAGAUAUUCUUGGAUGAAAUAAAAAAAGUUUAUACACUUGUAUUUGUGGUCACAUGUUAAAUUACUGAGAAAAUUGCAGAGUGAUUAUGGCACCGAAUUUCCAUUCAGGUGCAUUGGGAUCCUUCACCUGUUUGAACAUCCUGAUUUACGUUUUAUUUGGGUUCCCUAAAUUCCUUUAGGCAAAUACUUUUGUUGGUUCCACUGAAUAGGCCAUGGCAGAUUACCUGCCAUGUCCAAUCUGAGUUUCUGCUCAGUCUCUUGACAUGUUAACUAUUUAUUCAUUCUCUUUAUAAUGCUGCAAUGUUUUAAGUGUUCCAUAUCAUUGUGAAAA